UACAGAGGAGCCAAGCGUUGUCCGGAUUGACUGGGCGUAAAGCGCACGCAGGCGGUACUGCGCGUGGGGUGUGAAAUCUGGCCGCUUAACGGCCAGGCGCCAUCCCAUACGGCAGCACUAGAGGGCUGCAGAGGUCGAUGGAAUUGCCGGUGUAGUGGUGAAAUGCGUAGAGAUCGGCAGGAACACCCAGGGGGAAACCAGUCGACUGGGCAGCACCUGACGCUGAGGUGCGAGAGCGUGGGGAGCGAACCGG
rnacentral:rRNA from 1 species